rnacentral:rRNA from 1 species
GACGAACGCUGGCGGCGUGCUUAACACAUGCAAGUCGAACGAAGUGGCGAACGGGUGAGUAACGCGUAAUCAACCUGCCCUUCAUCGGGGGACAACAGUUGGAAACGACUGCUAAUACCGCAUACUGAAGGUGGGGAUUGCGUCUGAUUAGCUGGUUGGAGGGGUAACGGCCGACCAAGGCGAUGAUCAGUAGCCGGACUGAGAGGAUGAACGGCCAGAUUGGGACUGAGACACGGCCCAGACUGCUACGGGAGGGAGCAGUGGGGAAUCGUCCGCAAUGGAAGAAAGUCUGACGAAGCAACGCCGCGUGAGUGAUGACGGCCUUCGGGUUGGAAAGCUCUGUUAAUCGGGACGCGGUAUCUAACCAGAAAGCCACGGCUAACUACGUGCCAGCAGCCGCGGUAAUUC